rnacentral:rRNA from 1 species
GUGCCAGCCGCCGCGGUAAUACGGAGGGGGCUAGCGUUGUUCGGAAUUACUGGGCGUAAAGCGCACGUAGGCGGCUUGGUAAGUUAGAGGUGAAAGCCUGGAGCUCAACUCCAGAAUUGCCUUUAAGACUGCCGAGCUAGCAGGUGAGAGAGGUAAGUGGAAUUCCGAGUGUAGAGGUGAAAUUCGUAGAUAUUCGGAAGAACACCAGUGGCGAAGGCGGCUUACUGGCUCAUACUGGACGCUGAGGUGCGAAAGCGUGGGGAGCAAACAGGAUUAGAAACCCUAGUAGUCC